rnacentral:rRNA from 1 species
GACGAACGCUGGCGGCGUGCUUAACACAUGCAAGUCGAACGGUAAGGCCCUUCGGGGUACACGAGUGGCGAACGGGUGAGUAACACGUGGGUGAUCUGCCCUGCACUUCGGGAUAAGCCUGGGAAACUGGGUCUAAUACCGGAUAGGACCACUGCCUGCAUGGGUGGUGGUGGAAAGCUUUUGCGGUGUGGGAUGGGCCCGCGGCAUAUCAGCUUGGUGGUGGGGUGAUGGCCUACCAAGGCGACGACGGGUAGCCGGCAUGAGAGGGUGACCGGCCACACUGGGACUGAGAUACGGCCCAGAGUCCUACGGGGGGGAGCAGUGGGGAAGAGUGCACAAUGGGCGCAAGCCUGAUGCAGCGACGCCGCGUGAGGGAUGACGGCCUUCGGGUUGUAAACCUCUUUCAGCACCGACGAAGCGCAAGUGACGGUAGGUGCAGAAGAAGGACCGGCCAACUACGUGCCAGCAGCCGCCGUAA